CCUACGGGUGGCAGCAGUCGAGAAUCAUUCACAAUGGGGGAAACCCUGAUGGUGCGACGCCGCGUGGGGGAAUGAAGGUCUUCGGAUUGUAAACCCCUGUCAUGUGGGAGCAAAUUAAAAAGAUAGUACCACAAGAGGAAGAGACGGCUAACUCUGUGCCAGCAGCCGCGGUAAUACAGAGGUCUCAAGCGUUGUUCGGGAUCACUGGGCGUAAAGCGUGCGUAGGCUGUUUCGUAAGUCGUGUGUGAAAGGCGCGGGCUCAACCCGCGGACGGCACAUGAUACUGCGAGACUAGAGUAAGGGAGGGGGAACCGGAAUUCUCGGUGUAGCAGUGAAAUGCGUAGAUAUCGAGAGGAACACUCGUGGCGAAGGCGAGUACCUGGACAUUAACUGACGCUGAGGCACGAAGGCCAGGGGAGCGAAAGGGAUUAGAUACCCGAGUAGUC
rnacentral:rRNA from 1 species